GGGCCUAUAGCUCAGUUGGUAGAGCCCCCGGCUCAUAACCGGUAGGUCGUAGGUUCGAAUCCUGCUGGGCCCAC
rnacentral:tRNA from 1 species